CUCCUGAAAUCUGCUCCUACAUUCAUCCCAGUCAUCAGUCUAAUAGAGGGUGUCUUGUCCUGCUCCUGAAAUCUGCUCCUACAUUCAUCUCAGUCAUCAGAAACAGGGCAUUGAGGCAGGUGCAUGUCUGACAUCAAUGUGUGCACAAUAACAAUGAUAAUUUAAUAUGGACAAUUAAAAAUAUUAAAGUAAUAUUAACAUAAACAUAUUGUUGACAAGGAGGCUGUGAUGUAAUGGAAUGUUUUUCCUUGUGUGGUGUGUUGUGACACUCUUAUGUAGGUGUCAUAACCAGCCUUAAAAUAACACAAUAUACAGUAUGUCACAACAGGUCUAAAUGUGUCAUACCCAGCCUUAAAAUAACACAAUAUACAGUAUGUCACAACAGGUCUAAAUGUGUCAUAACCAGCCUUAAAAUAACACACUAUACAGUAUGUCACAAUAUGUCUAAAUGUGUCAUAACCAGCCUUAAAAUAACACAAUA
ensembl:lncRNA